rnacentral:misc_RNA from 1 species
GUUUUCAUCAAUUUAUUUUUAUAAUAUUUAAUGAAAAAAAUAUAAAAAACUGCAAAACAAGCUCAUCCCGUACAAGUAUGAACAGAAUCUACGACGAAGCAUGAGACGGCGAAGGUAAGAGCCCAAGCUUCCCAAACAAAAAUGAACAACUAGAGAUCUAGAAUAAACGCAGCUCAGUCCAAACUGGAAGGCUACUUGCUAUUAUUGUUGAGCU